rnacentral:rRNA from 1 species
UACAUAGGGGGCUAGCGUUGUCCGGAAUCAUUGGGCGUAAAGCGCGUGUAGGCGGCCCAGUAAGUCCGCUCUGAAAGCCCGAGGCUCAACCUCGGGAGGCGGGUGGAUACUGCUGGGCUCGAGUACGGAAGAGGCGAGUGGAAUUCCUGGUGUAGCGGUGAAAUGCGCAGAUAUCAGGAGGAACACCUAUUGCGAAGGCAGCUCGCUGGGACGUAACUGACGCUGAGGAGCGAAAGCGUGGGGAGCGAACAGG